rnacentral:rRNA from 1 species
UACAGAGGUCUCAAGCGUUGUUCGGAUUCAUUGGGCGUAAAGGGUGCGUAGGUGGCGCGGUAAGUCGGGUGUGAAAUUUCGGAGCUUAACUCCGAAACUGCAUUCGAUACUGCCGUGCUUGAGGACUGGAGAGGAGACUGGAAUUUACGGUGUAGCAGUGAAAUGCGUAGAGAUCGUAAGGAAGACCAGUGGCGAAGGCGGGUCUCUGGACAGUUCCUGACACUCAGGCACGAAGGCCAGGGGAGCAAACGGG